UACGUAGGGAGCAAGCGUUGUCCGGAAUCAUUGGGCGUAAAGCGCGCGUAGGCGGCCCCGUAAGUCCGCUGUGAAAGUCAAAGGCUCAACCUUUGAAAGCCGGUGGAUACUGUGGGGCUAGAGUCCGGGAAGAGGCGAGGUGGAAAUUCCUGGUGUAGCGGUGGAAUGCGCAGAUAUCAGGAGGAACACCAAUAGCGAAGGCAGCUCGCUGGGACGGUACUGACGCUAAGGGCGCGAAAGCGUGGGGAGCGAACAG
rnacentral:rRNA from 1 species